UAGUUCAGCACUAAGUCACUUUGUCUUAAUGGCAAAUGUGAGAUGCAGUGUAUGGAAUGUCAAAUUUCUAGUAUGAGAAAUUAACGAUUUAAGUCCUUCUUAAAUGAGGCCAUUUACCCAAAGAGGGUGCCAGGCCCGUAUAACGUUAAUGAUUACUAGAUGGCAUUUCCAAAGAGUCGUGUUGCUUGAUAGUGCAGCACUAAGUGGGUGGUAAACUCCAUCUAAAACUAAAUAUAACCAUGAGACCGAUAGUAAACAAGUACCGUGAGGGAAAGUUGAAAAGAACUCUGAAUAGAGAGUUAAAUAGUACGUGAAACUGCUUAGAGGUUAAGCCCGAUGAACCUGAAUAUCCAUUAUAGAAAAUUCAUCAUUAUGAUUUUAAUAUUUAUAAUAUUAUAAUAAUGGUGUGCAUUUUUUCUAUAAAAGGACAUUGUAAUCUAUUAACAUCAAAUAUUUAUCAAAAGAUCAAUUGCAAAUGUUUAUUCAAAUUAUUUUGCUUGCAAUUUAACAUAGAAUAAAUGCUUUUGAUUUGAUAAAGUGUUGAUAGAUUUAUUAUAUAUAGUGCUUGAAUAUUUAUAUUCUAUAAUAGCAUAUUAAUCAUUGAUUUUUAUGUUUAUUAUAUGCACUUAUAUGAUUAACAAUGCGAAAGAUUCAGGAUACCUUCGGGACCCGUCUUGAAACACGGACCAAGGAGUCUAACAUAUUUGCAAGUUAUUGGGAAUAAAAACCUAAUAGCGAAAUUAACAUAACUUAUUUAAUGGGAUUAAUUUUUAGCCUAUUUAUAGUCUAUUAAUUCAAUCCCGGGGCGUUCUAUAUAGUUAUGUAUAAUAAUAUUUAUAUUAUUUAUACCUCUAACUAGAGCGUACCUUGAGCAUAUAUGCUGUGACCCGAAAGAUGGUGAACUAUACUUGAUCAGGUUGAAGUCAGGGGAAACCCUGAUGGAAGACCGA
rnacentral:rRNA from 1 species